rnacentral:ncRNA from 1 species
AUUAAUCUGCCACCGGGUAGAGAAUGCAAUAGCAUUCGUUGCACAUCGAUAGGUCUUUGAAGAUGUGUAAUGGGUGCUUUUUUUUGA